CACCCAUUAACUCAAAAUACGAUUAAACCCGUUAAAUCUCUUGCGCAAGCCAUUUUUAGUUUGUUGGAAAAGACACCCCCCCCCCUGGUUUACAAAAUUUGAGUUCGAGAAAUUUUUUUCAUUUUCUACAUUAAAAGUACCCAAAGAAACUAUAUAUAUUAAAAACUGGAUACUAAUGGCUGUUUUGCGAAAUUGAGAGCAAUUCAAAUCUGUUUUUUUAUACACCCUGUAACGCUAUUCACGUAUUUUAUGACGAGGUUUGAAGAAAAGUUACAACCACAAAAAGCCACUUUUAAACUCGUCUAAUGUUGUUAGAUCGAAAAAAUAUUUUUCUAAAACAUUGUACUGUACACGCAAAUACAACAGCAAAAUAGCACGACGUCUUCGUUUUUGUAGUAAAAAGAAUGAAUCUCACUUGGCGCCACAUAUUUGAACUUUGAAGUCGGUCAUGAUUGCUGCUAUUUGCGCAAAUUCAAGUUCAAGUGUGCUUUCAGCAACCAUUGGCAUUUUUACUGGAGCUAGGAUUCUAGAUAGGGAAGACUACAACUUUUAUUGCUAAACAGCGAAG